AGGCUUAACACAUGCAAGUCGAGGGGCAGCAUGGUCUUAGCUUGCUAAGGCCGAUGGCGACCGGCGCACGGGUGAGUAACACGUAUCCAACCUGCCGUCUACUCUUGGACAGCCUUCUGAAAGGAAGAUUAAUACAAGAUGGCAUCAUGAGUCCGCAUGUUCACAUGAUUAAAGGUAUUCCGGUAGACGAUGGGGAUGCGUUCCAUUACAUAGUAGGCGGGGUAACGGCCCACCUAGUCUUCGAUGGAUAGGGGUUCUGAGAGGAAGGUCCCCCACAUUGGAACUGAGACACGGUCCAAACUCCUACGGGAGGCAGCAGCGAGGAAUAUUGGUCAAUGGGCGAGAGCCUGAACCAGCCAAGUAGCGUGAAGGAUGACUGCCCUAUGGGUUGUAAACUUCUUUUAUAAAGGAAUAAAGUCGGGUAUGGAUACCCGUUUGCAUGUACUUUAUGAAUAAGGAUCGGCUAACUCCGUGCCAGCAGCCGCGGUAAUACGGAGGAUCCGAGCGUUAUCCGGAUUUAUUGGGUUUAAAGGGAGCGUACAUGGGUGUUUAAGUCAGUUGUGAAAGUUUGCGGCUCAACCGUAAAAUUGCAGUUGAUACUGGAUAUCUUGAGUGCAGUUGAGGCAGGCGGAAUUCGUGGUGUAGCGGUGAAAUGCUUAGAUAUCACGAAGAACUCCGAUUGCGAAGGCAGCCUGCUAAGCUGCAACUGACAUUGAGGCUCGAAAGUGUGGGUAUCAAACAGGAUUAGAUACCCUGGUAGUCCACACGGUAAACGAUGAAUACUCGCUGUUUGCGAUAUACUGCAAGCGGCCAAGCGAAAGCGUUAAGUAUUCCACGUGGGGAGUACGCCGGCAUCGGUGAAACUCAAAGGAAUUGACGGGGGCCCGCACAAGCGGAGGAACAUGUGGUUUAAUUCGAUGAUACGCGAGGAACCUUACCCGGGCUUAAAUUGCAGAUGAAUUACGGUGAAAGCCGUAAGCCGCAAGGCAUCUGUGAAGGUGCUGCAUGGUUGUCGUCAGCUCGUGCCGUGAGGUGUCGGCUUAAGUGCCAUAACGAGCGCAACCCUUGUUGUCAGUUACUAACAGGUCAUGUUGAGGACUCUGACAAGACUGCCAUCGUAAGAUGUGAGGAAGGUGGGGAUGACGUCAAAUCAGCACGGCCCUUACGUCCGGGGCUACACACGUGUUACAAUGGGGGGUACAGAGGGCCGCUACCACGCGAGUGGAUGCCAAUCCCAAAAACCUCUCUCAGUUCGGACUGGAGUCUGCAACCCGACUCCACGAAGCUGGAUUCGCUAGUAAUCGCGCAUCAGCCACGGCGCGGUGAAUACGUUCCCGGGCCUUGUACACACCGCCCGUCAAGCCAUGGGAGCCGGGGGUACCUGAAGUGCGUAACCGCGAGGAGCGCCCUAGGGUAAAACUGGUGACUGGGGCUAAGUC
rnacentral:rRNA from 1 species